AUGGUAGCCUACAAUGUAGCUGUACACCCUGUUUCCUCAUGUCCAAAUUUCUUAGAUGGCCACAAUCAAAUUGUUUGUCCUCUUGGCAUGUACACUUAUAAGGAAAAACAAAGUAUCAUGCCUAUUUUGCGUGCUUACCCUGAAGAGCAGUGCAUGUUGAUCUACAAAAUGCUCAGAUAUGGAAGGAUGUUACAUAGGUUGCUUAGAAAGAUGAAGGGAUUAAUUUUGUUAUUCCUUCAUCUUCCUCACAGCUAUAAACAACAGCUCUUUCUGCCCGGGAAUGGACUCAUAAGGCCCAGUUGGGAGAAUGACAGCUCUGCCCUGCUGUGGGGAGCUCCUCUGAGGCCCGGUCCGAAGCACCGGUCUGGUAGACACGAGGUACCAACGCUUCCUGCUCCUGCAAUCCAGAUGCCUACACUCAGCACUAGGAGAAACGAAGUAACAAGCCUGAUGCAUGCUGACAUCCAACAGAUCUCAUUCCCUCACUUCCAGAAAAUCAAAAGGAAAAAGCUGCAGAAAUCCACAGGGGAUUAUCACCAGGCAUAA
rnacentral:lncRNA from 1 species